rnacentral:lncRNA from 1 species
UCAAAAGGAAAAUCCUUAUUUCUCCGAUCUUAUUUUGGUUCGUUUUCUAUCCCAAAUCUGAAGUUCCGGAAAACUACUGCACCUCCUUCGUCUCUCUACCGACUACCGGUGUCGAAGAAGCCACCCUUCUCUCUCGCGUCUCUCUAGGUACUUUCCUGUAAGAGCUUGAUUGUAUUUAAUGUUGCUAGAACUAUUUAAUAUGGUGAACAUUUGGUGUGAUUAGGGUUCAAUUAAACUGGGGUUUUGGAUUUGGG